rnacentral:rRNA from 1 species
UUAAGCGACUAAGCGUACACGGUGGAUGCCCUGGCAGUCAGAGGCGAUGAAGGACGUGCUAAUCUGCGAAAAGCGUCGGUAAGGUGAUAUGAACCGUUACAGCCGGCGAUGUCCGAAUGGGGAAACCCAGUGCAAUUCGUUGCACUAUCGUUAACUGAAUACAUAGGUUAACGAGGCGAACCGGGGGAACUGAAACAUCUAAGUACCCCGAGGAAAAGAAAUCAACCGAGAUUCCCCCAGUAGCGGCGAGCGAACGGGGAGCAGCCCGGAGUCUGAAUCAGCUUGUGUGUUAGUGGAAGCGUCUGGAAAGUCGCAGGGUACAGGGUGAUACUCCCGUACACUAAAACACACAGGCUGUGAACUCGAAGAGUAGGGCGGGACACGUGGUAUCCUGUCUGAAUAUGGGGGGACCAUCCUCCAAGGCUAAAUACUCCUGACUGACCGAUAGUGAACCAGUACCGUGAGGGAAAGGCGAAAAGAACCCCGGCGAGGGGAGUGAAAAAGAACCUGAAACCGUGUACGUACAAGCAGUAGGAGCCCACUAGUUGGGUGACUGCGUACCUUUUGUAUAAUGGGUCAGCGACUUAUAUUCUGUAGCAAGGUUAACCGAAUAGGGGAGCCGCAGGGAAACCGAGUCUUAACUGGGCGUUAAGUUGCAGGGUAUAGACCCGAAACCCGGUGAUCUAGCCAUGGGCAGGUUGAAGGUUGGGUAACACUAACUGGAGGACCGAACCGACUAAUGUUGAAAAAUUAGCGGAUGACUUGUGGCUGGGGGUGAAAGGCCAAUCAAACCGGGAGAUAGCUGGUUCUCCCCGAAAGCUAUUUAGGUAGCGCCUCGUGAAUUCAUCUUCGGGGGUAGAGCACUGUUUCGGCUAGGGGGUCAUCCCGACUUACCAACCCGAUGCAAACUACGAAUACCGAAGAAUGUUAUCACGGGAGACACACGGCGGGUGCUAACGUCCGUCGUGAAGAGGGAAACAACCCAGACCGCCAGCUAAGGUCCCAAAGUCAUGGUUAAGUGGGAAACGAUGUGGGAAGGCCCAGACAGCCAGGAUGUUGGCUUAGAAGCAGCCAUCAUUUAAAGAAAGCGUAAUAGCUCACUGGUCGAGUCGGCCUGCGCGGAAGAUGUAACGGGGCUAAACCAUGCACCGAAGCUGCGGCAGCGACGCUUAUGCGUUGUUGGGUAGGGGAGCGUUCUGUAAGCCGUUGAAGGUGGCCUGUGAGGGUUGCUGGAGGUAUCAGAAGUGCGAAUGCUGACAUAAGUAACGAUAAUGCGGGUGAAAAACCCGCACGCCGGAAGACCAAGGGUUCCUGUCCAACGUUAAUCGGGGCAGGGUGAGUCGACCCCUAAGGCGAGGCCGAAAGGCGUAGUCGAUGGGAAACAGGUUAAUAUUCCUGUACUUGGUGUUACUGCGAAGGGGGGACGGAGAAGGCUAUGUUGGCCGGGCGACGGUUGUCCCGGUUUAAGCAUGUAGGCGGAUGUUCCAGGUAAAUCCGGAACGUUACUAACGCUGAGGUGUGAUGACGAGGCACUACGGUGCUGAAGUGACAAAUGCCCUGCUUCCAGGAAAAGCCUCUAAGCAUCAGGUAACAUCAAAUCGUACCCCAAACCGACACAGGUGGUCAGGUAGAGAAUACCAAGGCGCUUGAGAGAACUCGGGUGAAGGAACUAGGCAAAAUGGUGCCGUAACUUCGGGAGAAGGCACGCUGAUGGUAGGUGAAGUGACUUGCUCAUGGAGCUGAAAUCAGUCGAAGAUACCAGCUGGCUGCAACUGUUUAUUAAAAACACAGCACUGUGCAAACACGAAAGUGGACGUAUACGGUGUGACGCCUGCCCGGUGCCGGAAGGUUAAUUGAUGGGGUUAUCCUCACGGAGAAGCUCUUGAUCGAAGCCCCGGUAAACGGCGGCCGUAACUAUAACGGUCCUAAGGUAGCGAAAUUCCUUGUCGGGUAAGUUCCGACCUGCACGAAUGGCGUAAUGAUGGCCAGGCUGUCUCCACCCGAGACUCAGUGAAAUUGAACUCGCUGUGAAGAUGCAGUGUACCCGCGGCAAGACGGAAAGACCCCGUGAACCUUUACUAUAGCUUGACACUGAACACUGGUCCUUGAUGUGUAGGAUAGGUGGGAGGCUUUGAAGUGUGGACGCCAGUCUGCAUGGAGCCGUCCUUGAAAUACCACCCUUUAAUGGCUGGUGUUCUAACGUGGGCCCGUAAUCCGGGUUGCGGACAGUGUCUGGUGGGUAGUUUGACUGGGGCGGUCUCCUCCUAAAGAGUAACGGAGGAGCACGAAGGUCAGCUAAUCCUGGUCGGACAUCAGGAGGUUAGUGCAAUGGCAUAAGCUGGCUUGACUGCGAGCGUGACGGCGCGAGCAGGUGCGAAAGCAGGUCAUAGUGAUCCGGUGGUUCUGAAUGGAAGGGCCAUCGCUCAACGGAUAAAAGGUACUCCGGGGAUAACAGGCUGAUACCGCCCAAGAGUUCAUAUCGACGGCGGUGUUUGGCACCUCGAUGUCGGCUCAUCACAUCCUGGGGCUGAAGUAGGUCCCAAGGGUAUGGCUGUUCGCCAUUUAAAGUGGUACGCGAGCUGGGUUUAGAACGUCGUGAGACAGUUCGGUCCCUAUCUGCCGUGGGCGCUGGAGAAUUGAGGGGGGCUGCUCCUAGUACGAGAGGACCGGAGUGGACGCAUCACUGGUGUUCGGGUUGUCAUGCCAAUGGCAUUGCCCGGUAGCUAAAUGCGGAAGAGAUAAGUGCUGAAAGCAUCUAAGCACGAAACUUGCCCCGAGAUGAGUUCUCCCUGACCCUUUAAGGGUCCUGAAGGAACGUUGAAGACGACGACGUUGAUAGGCCGGGUGUGUAAGCGCAGCGAUGCGUUGAGCUAACCGGUACUAAUGAACCGUGAGGCUUAACCUU